rnacentral:lncRNA from 1 species
GCGACGGGGACCCCCGGCGGGCGUCGCGGCGGGCGGGCCUCGAGAGGCUCGGUUCUUAAAGGGAACGCAGCGCCGGGAGCCUCUUCCGGGCUGGUGGGUGGGAAAUUUCCUGGAAGAAGGGGAGCCCGCUGCAGUGACGUGGGCUACGGCGGCGUGGGUCUGCAGGGCCGAGGAGGGGCCCGGGGAGACACGAAACCGGCAGUGCGUGGGGACUGGACUGCCUGGUUUCCCGGACGUCCAAGCCAGCCUCUCCCCCUCACCUUCUCGGGAGAAACAUGGAGCCAGCAGGACCAGCAGCCUGAGCACCAUGAUCAAGAGCAAGAUCACAGGAGAACGAGACAGACUCCGAUUUGAAUCCCAGCCGUGCCCUUUCAAUUAACAAAGCAAUUAACCCCUUUCUUCCUCAUCUGUGAAAUAGUCAUGUUUUGAGGAUGAUAAAAGGCCAUGUUUUCAAAAAGCAUGGUACACAAUAAACAUUUACGGAUGUUAACA